GGGGGUUAGCGUUGUCACCACCGGGAGGGGCCAGGGAACUGCUUUUCCCCGAGCUGGGAGAAAGGGCUGGAAUCUUAGAGGCGGGUAAGGAGGGGAAAGUAGGCUUACAAUCCCCACCAGCUUUCUUAGCACUUCCAUUCGCCUGCGAACAGAGAUGGCGGGAGACAGUUCGUCAGAGAGCUGCAGACACCAUCCAUUUCCACAGGCUCUGGCAACAACCGCCCUUCCAAGAACCAUCCAGCACACAGAAACCACACAGAACCAGUUCCGAGUCUGAGCUAGACGUUCAGGGGACACUUCUGGAAGGCCUACGGAAUUAGAAUACUGAGGUUAACAGGGCUUCAAGUGGAACAAGAAGGGAGGAACAACAGGGACCGUGGAGAUAGAGAGACGCAAGCAGCGCCAUCCAGGGAAGGAAGAGGGUCCUACCUGGUGAUGCUUAAGGGUUACUCCUGGCUCUGCACUCAGGAAUUGCUCCUGCUAGUGCUUGGGGGACCAAAUGGAAUCCCGGGGAUCAAACUCAGGUCAGCCUGCAUGCAAGACAUGUAAUUUACCAGCUGUGCGCUCUCUCUCUCUCUUUCUCUCUCUUCACUGUGGGCUUUUUUUUUUUUUUUUUUGCUUUUUGGGUCAGACCCAGCGAUGCACAGGUUACUCCUGGCUCAUGCACUCAGGAUUUACUCCUGAUGGUGCUCGGGGGACCAUAUGGGAUGCUGGGAAUCGAACCUGGGUCGGCUGUGUGCAAGGCAAACACCCUACCCGCUGUGCUAUCACUCCAGCCCCCUCACUGUGGGCUUUUUAAAAAACACUCUCCAAGUAAUUCUCAUGUGCAACAAGGAUUAAAGACCACUUUUUUAGACAUCUCAAGUAAUUACUUUAUUUUCUUAAUAUCAAAUGCUGUCAUUUGUAAAGAACCUGGCAGGCAGGAAAAAUAACUCCUGUCCUUGCCCUGUGAAUGUGCCCUGUUCCUGCCCCAUCAGCUCCUGCCAUGAGGCCCCUGAAAAGCCCCAGUGCUCUCAGCUUGAGAUGCCCAGCGCUCCCCAUCUUACUCUAAUAGGGCUGAGUUAGGCACCUUGUAGUGUCCAUUAAGACUCCAGAGCACACAGGAAGUUGUUCCACACAGCUGCUGUGUAUGUGUGUGUGUGUAAGGGGAAGGUAUCUAACCCAAGUGCUUGGUGAGGCAGAGCCUGGCCACGCGCCAACAGUUGAUUUUCUGUGCAGCAAGUGUGUGUGGUGGUGUGGGGUGUCCCCUAGCCAGUGGGCUCACAGGGUUAGUUAAAACUUCAUUCCCCUGCCCUGCUGACCACAAGAAAACAAGAAGCCAGGUACUCUGCCCUUGACUUUCAGUCAAAGAAAGCAUCAAAGCAGUUCAGACUGCAAUGGAGAGAGGUAGUUUCGAACAGCGGGGCUCUAAGUGGCCAGAACAAAGACAUUGCUUUUCUGAGAGAGCCAGUGAAGACCAUGCUCAAGUCUAAGCAUUAAUAUUUUUACAAUGAACAUUAUGAGUGACCGACUUUCAUAGAUUUAACGUUAGAGUUAUCUGAUGUUCUGUCACCCACUUGAGCACAACUGAGCUGUAUCAAGACACAUUGUUAGUAGGGUGUGGAGAGAGGUGACAUUAGAUGGUUCCCGUCCCAUCUACGUGUCAGGAGGAGUACUCUCUCCAACAACAAACAGCCUUGACACGCUAUGAUCUUAGCCAAAGGGGCCUUUGGGAAAAGGUCAUGCUAACACUGAAUGAGAACCUACUGGAAGCCAUAAAGUCUUCAAACACAAGAGCCACCUCAAGGGCUUUAAUCAGACCUUAAAAAGAAAAGAUGGUGGCACGAUUUCCUUUUUUUCCUUUGGCUCACACCCAGCAAUGCUCAGGGGUUACUCCUGGCUCUGCACUCAGGAAUUACUCCUGGCAGUGCUUAGCGGACAAUAUAGGAUACUGGGGAUCGAACUCAGGUUGGCCACAUGCAAGGCAAAUGCCCUACCCACUGUAUGACUCCAGCCCCCAGUGGCAUGAUUUCUAAUGCCCACUUUGGUUGGUUUUGAAAUAGAGCAGAAAUGAUUAAGAUUCAAAGAAAGGCAAGCAAAUCCAGCCACGUCCGAACUAGGAAAGCUUGGAACUGAUUUUCUGCAUCCACCUGGGAUGUGUUCUCAAACAAUCCUCCUUCAGACACGUCCUACUGGCAUCCUGAGAGCUCAGUCCAGCACCAUCUUGGACAACCGGAGACCAAGGCCAGAAGAUGCACAGUUCAUGGCGAGGGUCCCUGGUGCUCCUGCCAGCUCUAACUAAUGCCUGUGCGAGAGAUGCAGCCAUGGAGCCCAGAGCAGGAAGCAGGGAGCCACACUCAGCC